rnacentral:lncRNA from 1 species
CUCACCGCCCCGCUCUCUCUCGCAGUGCCCCAAGCCGGUGAUCGUGGCGGUGCACGGCGCCUGCGUCGGCGGAGGCGUCGACCUGAUCUCCGCCUGCGACAUCCGCUACUGCAGCCAGGACGCCUGGUUCCAGGUGAAGGAGGUGGACAUCGGGUUGGCAGCCGACGUGGGCACCCUGCAGCGUCUCCCGAAGAUCGUGGGCAACCAGAGCUUGGUGAACGAGCUGGCCUUCACCGCGCGCAAGAUGAUGGCCCCCGAGGCCCAGAGCUGCGGCUUGGUGAGGCGACGCUGCUGGAGGGCGCCCUGGACCUGGCGGCCACCGUGGCCACCAAGAGCCCCGUGGCCGUGCAGGGCACCAAGGUGAACCUGGUGUACGCGCGGGACCACCCCGUCCCCGAGGGCCUGCGCUACAUCGUGAGUGACCUCCCCGUCCCCGUGCCRUCCCCAACGGUGCCCCGGCCCUGUCCCCAUGCCCAUCCCUCUCUCCAUGCCCGUGUCAUCGCUGUCCCCAUGCCGUCCCCGAGGGCGCCCCAUCCCUGUCCCCAUGCCGGUGUUGUCCCCAUGCCUGUGUCAUCCCUGAGAGCACCCUGUCCCUGUUCUCAUGC